rnacentral:rRNA from 1 species
CAAUAGCGUAUAUUUAAGUUGUUGCAGUUAAAAAGCUCGUAGUUGGAUUUCGGGUGGGACCUGCCGGUCCGUCGUUGCGAUGUGCACUGGCCGGUCCCAUCUUGUUGUCGGGGACCAGCUCCUGGGCUUCACUGUCCGGGACUGGGAGCCGACGAAGUUACUUUGAGUAAAUUAGAGUGUUCAAAGCAAGCCUACGCUCUGAAUAUAUUAGCAUGGAAUAACACGAUAGGACUCUGGCUUAUCUUGUUGGUCUGUGAGACCAGAGUAAUGAUUAAGAGGGACAGUCGGGGACAUUCGUAUUUCAUUGUCAGAUGUGAAAUUCUUGGAUUUAUGAAAGACGAACUUCUGCGAAAGCAUUUGCCAAGGAUGUUUUCAUUGA